GAUGAACGCUAGCGGCAGGCCUAAUACAUGCAAGUCGGACGGGAUUUGGGAGCUUGCUCCCAAUGAGAGUGGCGCACGGGUGCGUAACACGUAUGUAACCUACCUUAAUCAGGGGGAUAGCCUCUCGAAAGAGAGAUUAACACCGCAUAAUAUAUUUUUAUGGCAUCGUAGAAAUAUCAAAUAUUUAUAGGAUUAAGAUGGGCAUGCGGAACAUUAGCUAGUUGGUAAGGUAACGGCUUACCAAGGCUACGAUGUUUAGGGGAUCUGAGAGGAUGACGCGCCACACUGGUACUGAGACACGGACCAGACUCCUGCGGGAGGCAGCAGUAAGGAGUAUUGGUCAAUGGGCGCAAGCCUGAAACAGCCAUGCCGCGUGCAGGAAGACGGCCCUAUGGGUUGUAAACUGCUUUUGUACCGGAAUAAACCCUUUUACGUGUAAAAGGCUGAAUGUACGGUAAGAAUAAGGAUCGGCUAACUCCGUGCCAGCCGCCGCCGUAA
rnacentral:rRNA from 1 species